rnacentral:rRNA from 1 species
ACGAACGCUGGCGGCGUGCUUAACACAUGCAAGUCGAACGGAAAGGCCCUGCUUUUGUGGGGUGCUCGAGUGGCGAACGGGUGAGUAACCCGUGAGUAACCUGCCCUUGACUUUGGGAUAACUUCAGGAAACUGGGGCUAAUACCGGAUAGGCGCUCCUGCUGCAUGGUGGGGGUUGGAAAGUUUCGGCGGUUUGGGAUGGACUCGCGGCUUAUCAGCUUGUUGGUGGGGUAGUGGCUUACCAAGGCUUUGACGGGUAGCCGGCCUGAGAGGGUGACCGGCCACAUUGGGACUGAGAUACGGCCCAGACUCCUACGGGAGGCAGAAGUGGGGAAUAUUGCACGAUGGGCGGAAGCCUGAUGCAGCAACGCCGCGUGCGGGAUGACGGCCUUCGGGUUGUAAACCGCUUUCGCCUGUGACGAAGCGUGAGUGACGGUAAUGGGUAAAGAAGCACCGGCUAACUACGUG